rnacentral:rRNA from 1 species
UACGAAGGGGGCUAGCGUUGUUCGGAAUUACUGGGCGUAAAGCGCACGCAGGCGGAUUUAUAAGUCAGGGGUGAAAUCCCGGGGCUCAACCUCGGAAUUGCCUUUGAUACUGUCUAUCUUGAGUCCGGGAGAGGUGAGUGGAAUUCCUAGUGUAGAGGUGAAAUUCGUAGAUAUUAGGAAGAACACCAGUGGCGAAGGCGGCUCACUGGCCCGGUACUGACGCUCAUGUGCGAAAGCGCGGGGAGCAAACCGG